GAGAACAGUCAUGCCAGGCUCCUGUGUGCAAGCAUAACAGAGUGUCGUCAAUAGUGUCAGGGACUGGUGCUUGUCCAUGGGAUUGGUCUCAAGUUGGGCCAGUUAUUGGUCGGCCAUUCCCUUUGUCUCUGCUCCAUCUUUGUCCCUGCAUUUCUUGACAGGACAAACUUCGGGUCAAAGUUUUGUGGAUGGGUUGGUGCCCAUCUACUGGGUCCUGCCAGGCUGGUACCAUAAAGGAGCAGACUCAAAUAAAGAAAAUCCACGCUCCGGUAUUCCAGCUGGCACCUGAGGCCGGCCGGCUGGAUGCAGCCCUGAGCAUCUGUGUCCCGUUGCCUUAUAGCCUCCUCCCAGCACAGGUGUGUUAACCCAGCGUUAGGACUAGGCUUUGGUCUCAGCUUCCUGCUUAAUCAGCCUUGCCCAGAACCUGGCCUGGUUGGCUGCCAAACUCUCCCCCAUGCCUGCUCCUCCUCCUUACUCAUUGUUCCUGGAACUUCAGUGUUGCCUCUUACACUCUGAGAGCCUUCUGCUGUUUACUUUUCCUGCUGUGACCCCACCUCCUUGUUGUUCUCAUCCAGGAAGUGGACUUCUGUCCAGUUCAAGUCUGAACACUAUGCUCUAGACUCUGGACCACCCCAGAGAGAUCAACCCUGUCACCCAGGUCAAUAGCUUCUUUUGGGAGGCUGGUGUCCUCUUCCUCAAUUCUCACACCAAGGCUUCAGGUAUAUAAAGCUGGCAUGAAUUUUAAACUAUAUAUUUGACCAAGUUGUUGUUAAUAUCAAUAAUGCUAAGCACUAAUAAGUAACUAGUCUUUUUGAAUAUCAGUUAUUUAAAAUAUCCUAAUUUCUUUACUACACUCACAUAUCUAAAUGGCAUAGAUAAUGUCUCGCAUGGCUUCUCUGCUGCUUUUGUCUUGUUUUGUUGAGACAGGCUUUCAUGGAGCAUAGGCUGGUCUCCAUCUAAUGUGUAGCCCAAGAUGACCUUCAGCUUCCAAUCCUCUUGCCUCUACCUCAUGAGUGCUGGGGUUACAGGUGCAUGUCACCAUGCCUGGGUUUAUGCAUUGCUGGGGAUUGAACUCUGGGCCUCUUGCAAACUAGAUAAGCACUUUAUCAAUUAUGCUAUGCCCUCUUUAGAUGUUCAAUAUCACCCAUAGGGGUUUUUAAUCACAAAAAGUAUAUCAGAUGCAUUUACUAGUAUGAUUAAAGAAAGGAAAAGGAAUAAUUGUUGUAGGGAGAAAUUAGGAUGAUGGGCCUAAGGAUGAAGGUAGAGGACUCUGAUUGCAGAACACUCAAGUUCUCCUUCCUGCACAAGUAACAUUCACAUACAGAUGUAUCGGCUUGGUGGUCCAAGGGUUUCUUAUUAGAUAGAAUGUAAGAACCAACAGAGGAAAACUUAAGAAGAAAUAGGCUUAUUGAAGUCAAAGAAAAUGCUUCCUUAAAAGGGCCAGAAGGCACCCACUGAGCUGCUGAGUGACCCAAACUCUUAAAUGUUGGGGAUGAGGGAGGGUCUUAUGAGUUAAGGCAGGUCUCAUGCUAAUUCUCAACACAUAGCUGGGAAUUCAAAGGAGUGGUCUGACCAAAUGCGCAUCUUUCAGAAGUAGGAUGGUGACUUGGAAGGAGGUGCAUAUAUACAAUGGUAACUCUAAAGGAAAGUCCCUAAACGCUCUUCCCGAUCGAUCGUUCCGAUCCCUGCAGUACCCAGCACACUGACACAGUAGCAAGAAGCCCUGCAGUGUGGAGCCACAUCAGGACAUGGCCAUCAGUCCACAUGUUUAACCCACUGUCCCUGUCCUUUUUAACUUUCCACAUCAGAAACAUUGGGGAUGUUGAGGGAAAACUGAUAGUUAUGCUGGGCUGGAGUGCUGGGGUCUGUAGUGUCUGCUGCUUGGGAGGAGGCAGCUAUUCCUGAGAUGCUAUUGUUCCUGUGCAUUACAGUGUCAGCAACUGUGAAGCCGGAGAAUACACACAUUAACACAAAUGAAACCACAGUUGGGAAGGGAAUAAAGGAUUAUAUUUUAUAUGAAAUAAAAUGUACUUUUUUCCUUAAAAUAUAUCAACAUA
rnacentral:lncRNA from 1 species